rnacentral:rRNA from 1 species
GGAUGUGAUCAUACCAGCACUAAAGCAAUGUAUCCCAUCAGAACUCCGAAGUUAAGCGUGCUUGGGCGAGAGUAGUACUAGGAUGGGUGACCUCCUGGGAAGUCCUCGUGUUGCAUUCC